UCCCUGGUAGUCUAGUGGCUAAAGUUUGGCGCUCUCACCGCCGGGACUGGUUGAUUCCAGAUCAGGGGA
rnacentral:tRNA from 1 species